CUCUCUCUCUCUCUCUCUCUCUCUUUUUGUUUGUUGAGGUUUGGUGGUGUUUUCGUAGGGUGUAUAGCAAUGCAGAGGGAAAAUAAUAAGAGAGGAAGUGCAAGAGGUGAGGAUUUUUCUUCUCUUCUUCCAUAUGCAGCCAUGGCGAGUGCUUUUACGAACAAGCUAUUGAAGUCGAAAGAACAAGCAGAAGAAUACCCCUUUUUGAUCAUGGAAGAACUCAACCCUAAAAAUUUCGGCUACAUCACGGUACACCGUGCUUCCAAUCAUAGCCCAAAUCAUCAAGGACAUGCCUCAACAAUUGAAAGUGAGGCUUCUAGAGGAAGUGGGAGAGCAUGAUAGAGAACGGAUAUUGUCUGUAAGCACGAUAUUUUCAUGCCUUGGAUUGUGUCAUGAGUUUCUUAGGGUGCAACAACAUAAAGGAUGACAACUAUUGCAGAAAUGGUGGGCAUGUAUGUGUUGUGUGGUAAGAAGACAAGAACAUUAAGCAGUUUCUGAAGAACUGCAAUAUGCUUUACAGGAUUAAGCAGGCCCCAAAGUCCUUUUUAUUCAAUUAUAUAGAAUUCAAAAUGGAUUUUACAGUCUGCUUGCAAUU